CUCCUCUUCAUUUCUAUGUCACUUUUCAUGGAGUAAAUCAAGGAUCUCUUAUUCAAUCACCAAAAGCUCCAAGAAAACGUGAUUUCUAGUUACCUUAAGGCGUAAAAGUGCUUCUGGAAGCUUGUUUUUGG